CAUGCAAGUCGAACGAACUCUGGUAUUGAUUGGUGCUUGCAUCAUGAUUUACAUUUGAGUGAGUGGCGAACUGGUGAGUAACACGUGGGAAACCUGCCCAGAAGCGGGGGAUAACACCUGGAAACAGAUGCUAAUACCGCAUAACAACUUGGACCGCAUGGUCCGAGUUUGAAAGAUGGCUUCGGCUAUCACUUUUGGAUGGUCCCGCGGCGUAUUAGCUAGAUGGUGGGGUAACGGCUCACCAUGGCAAUGAUACGUAGCCGACCUGAGAGGGUAAUCGGCCACAUUGGGACUGAGACACGGCCCAAACUCCUACGGGAGGCAGCAGUAGGGAAUCUUCCACAAUGGACGAAAGUCUGAUGGAGCAACGCCGCGUGAGUGAAGAAGGGUUUCGGCUCGUAAAACUCUGUUGUUAAAGAAGAACAUAUCUGAGAGUAACUGUUCAGGUAUUGACGGUAUUUAACCAGAAAGCCACGGCUAACUACGUGCCAGCAGCCGCGGUAAUACGUAGGUGGCAAGCGUUGUCCGGAUUUAUUGGGCGUAAAGCGAGCGCAGGCGGUUUUUUAAGUCUGAUGUGAAAGCCUUCGGCUCAACCGAAGAAGUGCAUCGGAAACUGGGAAACUUGAGUGCAGAAGAGGACAGUGGAACUCCAUGUGUAGCGGUGAAAUGCGUAGAUAUAUGGAAGAACACCAGUGGCGAAGGCGGCUGUCUGGUCUGUAACUGACGCUGAGGCUCGAAAGUAUGGGUAGCAAACAGGAUUAGAUACCCUGGUAGUCCAUACCGUAAACGAUGAAUGCUAAGUGUUGGAGGGUUUCCGCCCUUCAGUGCUGCAGCUAACGCAUUAAGCAUUCCGCCUGGGGAGUACGGCCGCAAGGCUGAAACUCAAAGGAAUUGACGGGGGCCCGCACAAGCGGUGGAGCAUGUGGUUUAAUUCGAAGCUACGCGAAGAACCUUACCAGGUCUUGACAUACUAUGCAAAUCUAAGAGAUUAGACGUUCCCUUCGGGGACAUGGAUACAGGUGGUGCAUGGUUGUCGUCAGCUCGUGUCGUGAGAUGUUGGGUUAAGUCCCGCAACGAGCGCAACCCUUAUUAUCAGUUGCCAGCAUUAAGUUGGGCACUCUGGUGAGACUGCCGGUGACAAACCGGAGGAAGGUGGGGAUGACGUCAAAUCAUCAUGCCCCUUAUGACCUGGGCUACACACGUGCUACAAUGGAUGGUACAACGAGUUGCGAACUCGCGAGAGUAAGCUAAUCUCUUAAAGCCAUUCUCAGUUCGGAUUGUAGGCUGCAACUCGCCUACAUGAAGUCGGAAUCGCUAGUAAUCGCGGAUCAGCAUGCCGCGGUGAAUACGUUCCCGGGCCUUGUACACACCGCCCGUCACACCAUGAGAGUUUGUAACACCCAAAGUCGGUGGGGUAACCUUUUAGGAACCAGCCGC
rnacentral:rRNA from 2 species